rnacentral:rRNA from 1 species
UACGUAGGGUGCGAGCGUUGUCCGGAAUUAUUGGGCGCAAAGCGCGUGUAGGCGGCCAGAAAAGUCCGCUGUGAAAACUCGAGGCUCAACUUCGAGCUGUCGGUGGAAACUUUCUGGCUAGAGUCCGGAAGAGGAGAAUGGAAUUCCUGGUGUAGCGGUGAAAUGCGCAGAUAUCAGGAAGAACACCCGUGGCGAAGGCGGUUCUCUGGGACGGUACUGACGCUGAGACGCGAAAGCGUGGGGAGCGAACAGG